GUCUCAGGGUAAGUCGGGACCUAAGCCGAGGCGGAAAAGCGUAGGCGAUGGACAACAGGUUGAAAUUCCUGUACCGGUGUGAAUCGUUUGAUCGAUGGAGUGACACAGUAAGGUAGGUCAGCACGCGAUUGGAAGUGCGUGUUUAAGCAUGUAGGUUGAGCUAUAGGCAAAUCCGUAGCUCUAAAAGCUGAGAUGUGAUGACGAGUUACUAGCGAUAGUAACGAAGUGAUUGAUCCUACACUGUCGAGAAAAGCUUCUAGGUAGAGACACAUCGCCCGUACCAAAACCGACACAGGUAGGCGGGGAGAGAAUCCUAAGGUGCGCGGGAAAACCCUCGUUAAGGAACUCGGCAAAAUGCCUCCGUAACUUCGGGAAAAGGAGGACUCAUGUAGUGUGAAGAGCAGCAACGCUUGGAGCAUGAAUGAGUGGCACAAGAGAGGCGCAAGCGACUGUUUACCACAAACACAGGUGCCUGCUAAAGCGAAAGCUGAUGUAUAGGUGCUGACACCUGCCCGGUGCUGGAAGGUUAAGAGGAGGGGUUAGACUUCGGUCGAAGCUCUGAAUUGAAGCCCCAGUAAACGGCGGCCGUAACUAUAACGGUCCUAAGGUAGCGAAAUUCCUUGUCGGGUAAGUUCCGACCCGCACGAAUGG
rnacentral:rRNA from 1 species